CCGUGCGUGGUUGGGGGUGGGGAGGAGUUACGGCUCGAAAGCUGUCUUUAAAAUACAUUAUAGAGUGGGCCGAACGAGUUCAGAGUGGGAUAUUCCACGUGUGGGUUGCUCCUUCUGCCUGGGUCCCUGAGUGAGAAGAACUGCCCAUGGCCUCCAUAUACAAAGAAUGAAGAAUAGCUGCCAGUGGUCCUACAAAUUUGAAGAUUUGAAGCCCAUUACAGUGUUGAAGAUGGUUUUCUUCCCGUUGCCAUCAUUUCAAGUUAGGGUGGAUUUGACUCCGAGAGGCUCAGAGCUGUACGUAAACUCCUCCAGGGCAGGACCUGACUCUUCAGAAGAAUUUUUUAACCCCUGCACCCCCACCCCCCACCCUGGAGCUGCCCAGGUCAAGGCCCUGAUAGAGCAGACGUUCAAGAGCAAUGACUAACUGCAGUUGAAAGCCCAGAAGAUACAACAAGCAAAAUCCUGCAUGAAAGAACUUUGCUCCAGACUAAGAUGUAAUCCAGUCAUUCCCUUUUCAUAAGACAAGUGUUGUCUGAAGGGGUCUGCAUGUGAUUUUGAGGCGAAAGGGCAGACAGAGCAGCAGAACUCAGGUCCCACUUUGCCCUGUAUCUGGAGCCUAUGAAAGGGGAAAGGAAGUGAGCCAUCUCGAUUCCCCAAGACAGCUGGGCAAGCACAGAGAAUGAGCUUUAAGAUUCAUAGUGGAGGAGUUCCCGUCAUGGCGCAGUGGUUAACAAAUCCGACUAGGAACCAUGAGGUUGUGGGUUCGGUCCC